CUGCCACAACGGCUUCCUGACGUGGCGGAAUAACCCUGAAUGGAGCA
rnacentral:ncRNA from 1 species